GAGCUCUUUGAAAGUAUCCAUAAGUGAGGGGGAAAAAAAAAAACUUUAAGGGCCAAGCACACUUGAAACAAGGUGUUAACUUGUGUUAUCAAUUGCACUGAGUUAUCUAGUUUACAUGUACUUAGUACUUAGCAGGGUGAUAUUGAGUUCACACCUAUUCAGUAUAGUGGAAUGAUGUAAUUAUGAUAGAGUAUAUAAGGGCUGAGAUAGAAGGAGAAGAGAGACUGGAAGAUAGAGACCCUCGUGGUUGCUGUCCUCUAUCCUUCACUUCUGCACUGAGACCAAGGCCCAUCUGAAGCUCCCUCAGAAAGCUAACCAGGCCUCUGGAGAAGGAGACUGACUGAAGGAGAUAAUUGGAUUUGGACUUAAUUCCCGAUUAUUCUCGGGAAUAUUCUGCUGAAACCAAAGCCCAUUUGGAGAACCCUCAGCAAGCUAGCCAGAACAUUACAUUUUGGUCGGAGGCUCUACCUUGUAUAUCGGGUUCCUCUCCUCAUAAAUUUGUUGCUACAUCCGGAGGAGCGAAGAAGAGGUCGCUUACGUUUCCUGCGCUGACCUGCUUCAGGUACUGCAGCCGCCGCUGCCGCUAUUGGCAUCAUGUCGAUCCCGUGGCUCUUCACCAAGAAGCUCCCCAUUCAUUGCAUGGCUGGGGCCGUCCCGGUUUGCAAUGAGAAGGGGGAGAUUUCAAUGGAGAAAGUGAAGGUGAAACGUUAUAUAUCGGGGAGGAGACCAGACUACGCCCCUAGGGAGUCCUCAGAUGAGGAGGAUGAGGAAUUUCAAUUCCUUAAGAAAGCCAAGGAGCAAGAAGCAGAGCCCGAGGAACAGGAAGAGGAUUUACCCGGCGAUCCCCGGCUUCGGCGUCUACAAAACCGCAUCAAGGAAGAUGCGGAAGAAAGGUUGGCCCGCCAUCGGGAAAUAAUAGAGCCUGAAGUGAUAGGAAAAAGUGAUUCUGAAGAAGCAGGAGAUGCAAGACAAAUGGAGCGAGAGGACAGUGGGGAGGAAGAGGAGGAAGAAAUUGAGGAGGAAAUUGAGGAGGAAAUUGAGUGGCGGCGGGCCAUGAUGCGAAAGCGAGCACAAGAAAGGAAAAAUGAAGAAGUGGAAGUCAUGGAAGUGGAAGAUGAAGAGCAUUCUGGGGAGGAAUCCGAAUCUGAAUCCGAGUCGGAGUAUGAAGAAUAUAUGGACAGUGAGGAUGAAGUGGAAGUCCGUCUCAAGCCAGUCUUCAUUCGGAAGAAGGACCGGAUAACAGUUCAAGAGCGUGAGGCGGAAGCACGGAAGCAGAAGGAGUUGGAGCAGGAGGCAGAACGUCUGGCUGAGGAGAGGCGCAAAUAUACUCUCAAGAUCGUGGAAGAGGAGACAAAGAAAGAACUAAGCGAAAACAAACGUUCCGUGGCUGCCCUAGAUGCGCUCAAUUCAGAUGACGAGAACGAUGAGGAGGAAUAUGAGGCAUGGAAAGUUCGGGAGUUAAAAAGAAUCAAACGGGACAGAGAGGAACGGGAAGCGAGGGCGAAGGAGAAAGCAGACACUGAACGUAUACGAAAUCUGCCGGAAGAGGAAAGACGAGCUGAAUUCCGAGCAAAUGACAGAGUUAUUACCAACAAAGCUGUCAAGGGCAAAUACAAGUUCUUGCAGAAGUACUAUCACCGGGGUGCUUUCUUUAUGGAUAAAGAUGAAGAAAUAUACAAGAGAGAUUUUAGUGUUCCCACCCUGGAGGAUCAUUUCAAUAAGACUAUUCUUCCCAAAAUUAUGCAGGUUAAGAACUUUGGACGGUCAGGCAGAACCAAAUAUACCCAUCUUGUGGACCAAGAUACCACUUCCUUUGAUUCAGCUUGGGGUCGAGAGAAUGCCCAAAAUACCAGGUUCUUCACAGAAAAAGCAGCUGGGGUACGAAAUGUAUUUGAAAGGCCAUCUGCCAGGAAGAAGAAGAAAACUACUUAGAAUUCAGUCACUUACUUCCCCAACUCUAGACAAAUGGGGAAGUUUGUUUUUGUUGGCGUUUCCCCCCCCCCAAGAUUGUUCAAGGCAAAACCUCUUUUCUGGCACUUUUUGAGCCUAGCAUCCUUUUUAUGAUUCCAAAGGGACCCUAAAAUGAAGGACUGGAAAGAGGACAUUCUAUCUUUGACCAGCCUGGUCUACUAAAACCAAGGCUAGUCUGGAGACCGCCAGAAAGCUAACCCAGACUUUACAAAAAACAAACAAACCAGAAAAAAACCCUGCAAUUUCUUUUUGGAGUUUGGGCUGGGGGAAGAGCUGAAAGCACAAAUUGAAUUGUAGGAACAAGAGUCAAAUGUCUGUGGUAAAUGGGCAGAAAUUCAUGGAAUAUGUGACAGAACAGUGGGAGAUAAGACCAUUUAGAAAAAGAGAAAGCAAAGCAGGAGAGUGAACAUGUUUUAUGGGAAUGUACAUAGACUUCCUAGGAAGAAGCUAGGCCUGGGAUCCAAAAGAAGGGGCAAAGUUCUCAAGCCAUUCUGGAAAAUAUUUUUCUGGGAACAAAAAUCUGAGUAGCAGCCAAUGGGAACAUAGCAGAAUCCUUGACUUUGAGAUUCUUGGCCAUUACUCCUUCAGAGAAACUUCUAGAUUUGUUUAUUUCAUUACCAUUAUCUCACAUUGUAUUAUGGCAUGAUAAUUAAGUACAAAAAAUGUAUUUUCAGAGAUCUAUUAAAAUAUUAAUAAAAAUGCUAUAAAAACUAAUUGUUUUUAUGUUUUUAAAGUAUGUGUUUUUAAAAGCUUCUUCUAGGUCCAAAUCUGACUUUAUGGUCCUUAGUACAAAUGAUGCAUAUACUGUCAGAUGCAGUUGUUUGAGUUUUGCUUAACUGUCUAAAGCACUUUGUAGUUGGAGACAGAAGGCAGGUUCAAAUUAUAACUAUUCUACUCACAUCUGGGUAAGAUUUCUAGAGUUAGUUUCUACACCUGAAAAAAUGAGUUCAUUAGGGUAGGUGACUUUUUAAGCAUUUUCUUUGGAGAAAGACAAGGAAAAUAACUGAUUCUUAAUCCAAAGAGCAUCAAAAUGUAUUUGUUAAAAAAAAA